GACGAACGCUGGCGGCGUGCCUAAAUACACGCAAGUCGAGCGCAGGAAACUGACGGAACUCUUCGGAGGGAAGGCAGUGGAAUGAGCGGCGGACGGGUGAGUAACACGUAAGGAACCUGCCUCAAGGAUUGGGAUAACUCCGAGAAAUCGGAGCUAAUACCGGAUAGUUCAACGGACCGCAUGGUCCGCUGAUGAAAGGCGCUCCGGCGUCACCUUGAGAUGGCCUUGCGGUGCAUUAGCUAGUUGGUGGGGUAACGGCCCACCAAGGCGACGAUGCAAAGCCGACCUGAGAGGGUGAUCGGCCACACUGGGACUGAGACACGGCCCAGACUCCUACGGGAGGCAGCAGUAGGGAAUCUUCCACAAUGGACGAAAGUCUGAUGGAGCAACGCCGCGUGAGUGAUGAAGGUUUUCGGAUCGUAAAACUCUGUUGUAAGGGAAGAACACGUACGAGAGGGAAUGCUCGUACCUUGACGGUACCUUACGAGAAAGCCACGGCUAACUCUGUGCCAGCCGCCGCCGUAAGAC
rnacentral:rRNA from 1 species